GGUAUAUAAGUUAGCUGGUAGAGUGCUUACCUUGCAUGCACAAGGUUCUGGGUUCAAUACCCAGCACCA
rnacentral:tRNA from 1 species